rnacentral:rRNA from 1 species
CCUACGGGCGGCAGCAGUGGGGAAUAUUGGACAAUGGGCGAAAGCCUGAUCCAGCCAUGCCGCGUGUGUGAAGAAGGCCUUCGGGUUGUAAAGCACUUUCAGUGGGGAAGAAAGCCUUGGGGCUAAUACCCUCGAGGAAGGACAUCACCCACAGAAGAAGCACCGGCUAACUCCGUGCCAGCAGCCGCGGUAAUAUGGAGGGUGCGGGCGUUAAUCGGAAUUACUGGGCGUAAAGCGCGCGUAGGCGGUCUGAUAAGCCGGUUGUGAAAGCCCCGGGCUCAACCUGGGAACGGCAUCCGGAACUGUCAGGCUAGAGUGCAGGAGAGGAAGGUAGAAUUCCCGGUGUAGCGGUGAAAUGCGUAGAGAUCGGGAGGAAUACCAGUGGCGAAGGCGGCCUUCUGGACUGACACUGACGCUGAGGUGCGAAAGCGUGGGUAGCAAACAGGAUUAGAUACCCCAGUAGUC